rnacentral:rRNA from 1 species
AACGAACGCUGGCGGCAUGCCUAACACAUGCAAGUCGAACGAAGCCUUCGGGCUUAGUGGCGCACGGGUGCGUAACGCGUGGGAAUCUGCCCUUGGGUUCGGAAUAACAGUUAGAAAUGACUGCUAAUACCGGAUGAUGUCUUCGGACCAAAGAUUUAUCGCCCAGGGAUGAGCCCGCGUAGGAUUAGCUUGUUGGUGAGGUAAAGGCUCACCAAGGCGACGAUCCUUAGCUGGUCUGAGAGGAUGAUCAGCCACACUGGGACUGAGACACGGCCCAGACUCCUACGGGAGGCAGCAGUGGGGAAUAUUGGACAAUGGGCGAAAGCCUGAUCAAGCAAGGCCGCGUGAGUGAUGAAGGCCUUAGGGUUGUACAGCUCUUUUACCUGGGAUGAUAAUGACAGUACCGGGAGAAUAAGCCCCGGCUAACUCCGUGCCAGCCGCCGCAGUAACAC